rnacentral:lncRNA from 1 species
AAUACAAUGGCUUCUGGUCAAUUCAGUCAUAAGAUGUAUUCCUGGCUGGAAAAUUCUGCUAUUUGGAAUCUACAGUUAGACAAGACUGCAUGUUAGACUCUGAAGUUAGGCAGGGUCACCACCCUGGACAGGUAUGGAAUGUAUUCGGUGUUGAGGAGUUUGGACAGUACAGCAGCAGCUGCUCUAGAGCAUAAGCAGAUGGUGAAUGUUCAACUUGAUUACAUUGACCAAACGGAAUUGGAUAACAAACUCGAAAUAGUUUGAGAAAAAAGCACACGUAUAAUGCUUAGAGAUGUAAAAGCCAUUUUGCAAGAAUGAGAAUGAGUGCUACAUGCUAAGGAAAGUGGAAUGGAAAGUUAAGAACAGUUAAGAAUGAGGUGAAGACUAGAAAAGGGAAAAUUGUCUUUGUUGAAGAGCGCUUGUCUCCUGACAGUUACUCAGUGAUGCAAAGCUAAAAAGAGCACUGUGCUCAUGGUGGAAAAUAAUUCCCAGGACUUGACAGGGAAGAAUGUACUCAUUCCACGCCCCGGGCAGAAGUCUGCUGAGACAAACAGAAGAAAGAUAGUUAGUGAGCAAAUUCAUCAAGACCAAUAUCAUGUAUUUCUCCCCCUGGCCUGAUGGCUGAUUUGCACUCCUCCUGUAAGCAACAAAACUGCAAAACCAGUGCUACAAAACAGAAGCACCUGUAAGUCCGUGGGAGCACAUCUUUGCUCAACAAGAGAUCCUGACAACUAACAACUAA